AUGAGGGGCAGAGAGGACGGAGGGGAGGUGCUGCACGGAACGGCCAGGUCUUGCCUCUUCCAGAGACGCCAACCCUCCCCAUCUUCUUCAUCAGUCAUGAUGGGUGCGUCACCCACACCCACGGCCCCGUGGGUCACCUCCUUCCUGCCUGCAUGUUUGCAACCACAAAUUCCAUCUGCACCUCUGGGCUGCACACAGACGCUGAGAGCAGCCCAGCUGGCAUCCAGAGGUAGAGACCCUACGGACACACCUCAGGGUCAAUCAUCCUUCCAUCCCCACCUGACAGUUCCCCCGUUUCCUGGACAGCCACCACCAUGCACCCCGACUUCCCUGAGUCAGAAACCCCAAAUGACCCGAGUCUGUCUUGGUUCACUUUCCAUGGGCAAGCAGUCAAGACUGCGUGACUUGGUCUCUAGAAUCAUUUUCAAAACGAACUCCUUCUGCCCCUCUGCACCGGCCUCUAACCAGACCCCAGGUCCAUCCCACCAUGCCCUCCAGUCCACGGGCUGCUCUGGAGGCUGGAUGCAUCUGAUCCUACAACAUCGCUGUUCUGCCCAAAUGACCCGAGUCUGUCUUGGUUCACUUUCCAUGGGCAAGCAGUCAAGACUGCGUGACUUGGUCUCUAGAAUCAUUUUCAAAACGAACUCCUUCUGCCCCUCUGCACCGGCCUCUAACCAGACCCCAGGUCCAUCCCACCAUGCCCUCCAGUCCACGGGCUGCUCUGGAGGCUGGAUGCAUCUGAUCCUACAACAUCGCUGUUCUGGGGGGUUUUUUUGAAGUACAGCUGAUUUACAAUGUUGUGCUAAUUUCUGCUGCACAGCAAAGAGACUCAGUUGUACACAUAGAGACACUUUCUUUUUCAUAUUCUUUUCCAUGAUGGUUUAUCACAGGAUAGAGAAUAGAGUUCCCUGUGCUCUACAGUAGGACCUUGUUGUUUAUCCAUUCUAUAUAUAAUAGUUUGUAUCUGCUAAUCCCAAACUCCCACUCCAUCCCUCCCCCAUCUCCCCUCUCCCUUGGCAACCACAACUGUGUUCUCUAUGUCUGUGAGUCUGUGUCUGUUUGGUAGAUAAGUUCACUUGUGCCAUAUUUUAGGUUCCACAUGUAAGUGAGAUAACAUGGUAUCUGUCUUUCUCUGUGUGACUUGCUUCACUUAGUAGGAUCAUCUCCAGGUCCAUCCAUGUUGCUGCAAGUGGCAUUAUUCUGUUCUUUUUUAUGGCUGAGUACUAUUCCAUUGUAUACAUGUACCACACCUUCUUUACCCAUUCCUCUGUUGAUGGACAUUUAGGUUGCUUCCAUGUCUUGGCUGUUAUAAACAGUGCUGCUAUGAACACUGGGGUGCACGUAUCUUUUUGAAUUAGAGUUUUGUCUGGAUAGAUGUCCAGCAGUGGGAUUGCUAGAUCAUAUAUGGUAGUUCUAUUUUUAGUUUUCUGAGGAACCUCCAUCCUGUUCUCCAUAGUGGCUGCACCAACUUACAUUCCCCCCAACAGUGUAGGAGGGCUCCCUUUUCUCCACACCCUCUCCAGCAUUUGUUAUUUGUAGACUUUUUAACGAUGGCCAUUCUGACCAGUGUGAGGUGAUACCUCACUGUAGUUUCGAUUUGCAUUUCUCUAAUAAUUAGUGAUGUUGAGCAUCUUUUCGUGUGCCUACUGGCCAUCUGUAAUAACACCACUAUUGACAUCCGUUAUCGGGCGUCCUGGGAGGAGGUCCAGACCCAACGUCUAAGACACUCAUGGGGGCUGGGACCAGUUGUCCUGGGGAGAAUGGAGAUGGGGGUAGCUCACACCAUUUGUGGGGAUCUGGGGUUCUGAUGAGGGACCCAGCAGACAAGGGAGAAAUGACAGUAUGGCCACCCUCAUCUUGAGCUAUUUCUGCAUCACUGACGGUCCCAGCCUGGUUCAGGCUCCUUGGACCUUAGCCCAGCCUUCAACCCCCUCCAAGGGCUGCACCUUUUGUGUCCUGCGUGCACUACAAGGGCAGAUCAUUGACACCGUCCUCCUCCUUUCAGCACUCAUGAAGACUGCUGAGGAAGCAGGAGUACCCACUGCCUGGUACGAUGUUGGGACAUACCUCCCGAUGCCCUAUUAACUGUCUUCACAGCUCUGUGCAGAGAGAUGUCACGAGUCUGAAGGACAUCAUACCCUAACUCCCUGCUCCAUGCCUCCUAGGGGAAUCCCAUCUGAGGUGAUGUGAUCUUUUUUUUUUUUUCCUAAGGUGUAUAGAAAAUGGGAGAUGUUAUUUAUCCCAGAGGGAGCACUGCUUAGAGCAUCUUGCUGUCUAUUCAGAAUCCGAUAUACAUUUCCCAGCACACAGCACCCAGGAAACACACUCCAUCAUGCCUGGCACGUGACGUGCACCAUCCUCAGAUCACGGUAUCGGAAGGAGAAGGAUGUUUCUUGAAUGCUUGCCAUCUUUGCUUCGAUCAAGGACCCUACAGUGGAUUUAUGAAAGACUUUAUUUAGACUAUACUAUAAACUGUGAGUUUUAAUAUAUGUUCAUCCAUAAAACUGAAUCGUUUCUAAUGUUAAAAAAAAAUCCCUCCAUGUUCCCCUCGGUAAACUGGGGGCAGUAUUCAUGCCCGCCCCAUGGUCUUGGAAUACAGAUUAAAUACGCCAAUGUUUACGAAGUGCUGUGCAACAUCCAGCAUGUCGUGGGUGCCAUCUGGGUGUUUCUAAGACGUGUGUCAAAGGCAUCAUCAGGAUGGGAAGGGCUGAUGCUUCAAGAAGGAUUCCCUUGUGGUGUCCGGGGCAGCACCCGGCACAAGUAGGUGAUGCAGGCACCCACCUGAGAGGUGAGUCUUAUCAACGUGCCCCAGAAAGGCAGAAUCUGAAGCCAAUGAGCUUAAAAAGCCACAAGAUGAUGGUCUGGACACUUGAGAUCUAAGGAGAGAGGAGAGCGUAUGAAUUUCCUCUGGGGGCUCUUGUGAAUUAUCACAAAAUCGGUGGCUCAAAACAGCACAAAGGUAUCAUCUUCUUCAAAUUCUAAGAGGUCAGAAGCACACAGUGAAUCUGGGCGAAAAUCCAGGUGUGGGCAGCGCUGUAUUCCUUCUGGAGGUGUCGUGGGGAGAGUCUGUUUCCUUGCCUCUUUCAGCUCUGAGAGGCCACUGUAUCCCCUGGCCCGUGGUCCUCUGUUCCACCUUCAAAGCCAGGAAGCCAUGACCUCUGCUUCUGCCAUCACUUCUCCCUCUCUGACCCUCAGCCCCCUAACCUCUCUUAUGAGGACCCCUGUGAUGACCUUGGGCUUCCCCUGGGUCACCCAGCGUCUCCGGCGAGAGGCUGACCUCCAAGGAGCCUGGAGUCAUGGAUGGUGGGUCCCUAUGACAUGAUGGAAUGUCAACUGGGGGUGUCACAUGUCUUAAGCUGCUGGGACAGCAUGAUUGCACUUGGAUGCUUGGUCCCCGACAACGGAGCAGCUCAGGACGCAGAGGUGAGAGAGAAGGCUCCCUGGACGUGUGUCCCUGAGGUGCUGAAUCAGGCCUCUCAGCCGCUGAGCGCAUCCAUCCAAGAACCAGACUUUCUGAUCUCCUGUCUUCACUGGACAGAUUUAGAUGCAUGGUGAAGGGAACCAACCACGGCCAGCCAUAUAUGUUAUUCUGACAAGGGCACACUCCACAGGGGAGACGUGAUCGUUUGUAAUCGGAGACCUGAUAAAGGGAAUUUCAAAGGGCUUAUUGGACAGCAGCCCCGACCAGGGGACCAGAUGUAGUCAGCAUUGAAAAUCGUGCUUUUUCGUGGUACGCGUUGACCUUGAGGGGGUGGGGGGAGGCAGCCAGGAUGACACCCCCAAAUGCAAGGGCCCGACGGCCUCUGGGAGAUGCAGGUUUUCUGUAUCGGAGCUAGAUUUGAUUUAUGACGCUACUAACUGCUUCCUAGAUGCCUGAAGGGCACUCACUCCCUCUGAAGACCUUCCCUGACCCUACGGCACAGACAGAUAGAAUGGUCUUGAUUUGCUUGUAGAAAGAACCAAUUAAGCCUCUUAUCUUUAUGAAUGUAUCAACCUGCUGGGUUUUUUCAAGGUACUAACUGGUUUACCCAGGGGACCGGCUCUGAAUUUGGAAUCAAGUCCACGGCUUUUGAUAAGGUGUAGAAUAGAGGUUUCGGAGUGAUAGAAAAGAAUGCCAUUAAAAGACAUAAAGGGACAUAAAGACACAUAAAUCCUCUAGACUCCUCCCCCCCGGCCCCCCAGGGACUGAGGGCACAUCCUUGAAGACUUCACACAAUGCACGCACGCACACGUACGUGUAACAAAAUAAUAUGUAUAAUGAUGACAUACAAUCAUUAUUAUAAAGGUGACAUCAGAGCCUGCCACUGUCCUACAACUUUUUUCUUUUUACAACUCACAUCACUUUUGCUUUAUUACCAUGGUAACAAAUAGGCUUCCACUAUGUAAUUCUACAGUUU
rnacentral:lncRNA from 1 species